GCGACCCCAGGUCAGGCGGGGUUACCCGCUGAGUUUAA
rnacentral:rRNA from 60 species